CACCCCGUGCACCAGUAGCACCCGGCUGCCCGGGCCCCAACAAGCAGCUCUGUUUCUGUUUGGACCCGCAAGAGACAGCCACGUUCUCAGGAACAGUGACAUCUAGAAGCUUGCUGCAGUAUGAGUGUGGUCAGGAUCUCUGAGCCGAUGUGAACCUCUAUGCACUAUUGGAUCUCAGUGCAGAUCACAGGAGGCGAGCAGAGGGGAAAGGGCCCUAGGUGAGGAGCACCACUUCCACCCUCUCCUCUCCUCCCUACCUUUCUCCCUUUUUCUAAACCUACA
rnacentral:lncRNA from 1 species